AAUUCACCCAUAUGUAUUUUCUUUCACAUAUGGGUGAAUGCAAUAUGAGUAAAUCAAAAUCACCAAUUAAAAUGUUAUUUUAGUAGGGAUUCACCCACAUGUGAAAUAAAAUACAUAUGGGUGAAUU
rnacentral:miRNA from 1 species